GGAGAGAUGGCUCAGAGGUUAAGAGCACUGACUGCUGCUCUUCCGGAAGUGACUGCUGCUCUUACAGAAGUCCUGAGUUCAAUUCCCAGCCACCCCA
rnacentral:tRNA from 1 species